rnacentral:rRNA from 1 species
UACAGAGGGUGCGAGCGUUACUCGGAAUUACUGGGCGUAAAGCGUGCGUAGACGGUUAUGUAAGUCAGGUGUGAAAGCCCCGGGCUCAACCUGGGAAUUGCAUUUGAGACUGCAUAGCUAGGGUGCGGAAGAGGGAAGCGGAAUUUCCGGUGUAGCGGUGAAAUGCGUAGAUAUCGGAAGGAACAUCAGUGGCGAAAGCGGCUUCCUGGUCCAGCACCGACGUUCAGGCACGAAAGCGUGGGGAGCAAACAGG